CCUACGGGUGGCUGCAGUGGGGAAUAUUGCACAAUGGGGGAAACCCUGAUGCAGCGACGCCGCGUGAGUGAAGAAGUAAUUCGUUAUGUAAAGCUCUAUCAGCAGGGAAGAAAAUGACGGUACCUGAGUAAGAAGCCCCGGCUAACUUAGUGCCAGCAGCCGCGGUAAUACGUAGGGGGCAAGCGUUAUCCGGAUUUACUGGGUGUAAAGGGAGCGUAGACGGCAGUGCAAGUCUGGAGUGAAAGGCGGGGGCUCAACCCCCGGACUGCUCCGGGAACUGUACGGCUGGAGUGCAGGGAAGGUAAGUGGAAUUCCUGGUGUAGCGGUGAAAUGCGUAGAUAAUAGGAGGAACACCAAUGGCGAAGGCGGCUUACUGGACUGGUACUGACGUUGAAGCUCGAAGGCGUGGGGAGCAAACAGGAUUAGAUACCCCAGUAGUC
rnacentral:rRNA from 1 species